AGCGUUUCAUUAAGCAACGACGAAAAAGUUCACAGUUUCGAUCGAAAUAACUUGAUCGUUUGAAGCUUGCAUCGCAAAAUAUCUACUGAUUGAACGAAACACAUCAAAGCACGCACUUUGAAAUCUGCCUCUGGCAAAAAUCGAUCGAACAAAACAUUUCGUUGGAAUUGAUAUUUAUGCACAAAGAAGCUACGAGAAAGAACGAAAGACGGACAAUCUUGUGCGACAAGAAUCCUCCCAACGUACAUGAUGCUUGCUUUUCUCAGUUUACACGGGUGCUCGAAAAAAAGCUGACUUCGUUCGUCGCAUCUUCUUAUCCUUCCUUGUGUUUCGUGUACGAAGCUAGCUGGUAUUCGUCUUUCUCUGGGAUAUAUAGUGUGCAGUCAUGGCACGUUUAAACGGGUUUCGUUACGGAAAUUGUCUGGUCGAUGUUAUCGCGAAACAAUGUUCGGUUUUACUACAAGAAUUUUCGAAAAGGAACAUCCUAAAUACCGAAGGUAAAAUGUACAGAAAGAAAGAUAUAA